GGAGAGGUGCUCGAGUGGUUAAAGAGGCACGACUGGAAAUCGUGUGUAUGAGAUUUCAAUCUCGUACCGAGGGUUCGAAUCCCUCUCUCUCCG
rnacentral:tRNA from 1 species